AGUGAACGCUGGCGGUAGGCCUAACACAUGCAAGUCGAACGGCAGCACAGUAAGAGCUUGCUCUUACGGGUGGCGAGUGGCGGACGGGUGAGGAAUACAUCGGAAUCUACUUUUUCGUGGGGGAUAACGUAGGGAAACUUACGCUAAUACCGCAUACGACCUACGGGUGAAAGCAGGGGAUCUUCGGACCUUGCGCGAUUGAAUGAGCCGAUGUCGGAUUAGCUAGUUGGCGGGGUAAAGGCCCACCAAGGCGACGAUCCGUAGCUGGUCUGAGAGGAUGAUCAGCCACACUGGACCUGAGACACGGUCCAGACUCCUACGGGAGGAAGCAGUGGGGAAUAUUGGACAAUGGGCGCAAGCCUGAGCCAGCCAUACCGCGUGGGUGAAGAAGGCCUUCGGGUUGUAAAGCCCUUUUGUUGGGAAAGAAAAGCAGCAGGUUAAUACCCCGCUGUUCUGACGGUACCCAAAGAAUAAGCACCGGCUAACUUCGUG
rnacentral:rRNA from 1 species